rnacentral:rRNA from 1 species
UACGGGGGGGGCAAGCGUUGUUCGGAAUUACUGGGCGUAAAGGGCUCGUAGGCGGCCAACUAAGUCAGACGUGAAAUCCCCAGGCUCAACCUGGGAACUGCGUCUGAUACUGGAUGGCUUGAAUCCGGGAGAGGGAUGCAGAAUUCCAGGUGUAGCGGUGAAAUGCGUAGAUAUCUUGAGGAAUACCGGUGGCGAAGGCGGCAUCCUGGACCGGCACUGACGCUGAGGCGCGAAAGCUAGGGGAGCAAACGGG